rnacentral:rRNA from 1 species
AUACGGAGGAUCCGAGCGUUAUCCGGAUUUAUUGGGUUUAAAGGGAGCGUAGAUGGGUUGUUAAGUCAGUUGUGAAAGUUUGCGGCUCAACCGUAAAAUUGCAAUUGAUACUGGCAGCCUUGAGUACAGUUGAGGUAGGCGGAAUUCGUGGUGUAGCGGUGAAAUGCUUAGAUAUCACGAAGAACUCCGAUUGCGAAGGCAGCCUACUAAACUGCCACUGACAUUGAUGCUCGAAAGUGUGGGUAUCAAACAGGAUUAGAUACCCUGGUAGUCCACACGGUAAACGAUGAAUACUCGCUGUUUGCGAUAUACUGCAAGCGGCCAAGCGAAAGCGUUAAGUAUUCCACCUGGGGAGUACGCCGGCAACGGUGAAACUCAAAGGAAUUGACGGGG